rnacentral:rRNA from 1 species
UACGAAGGGGGCUAGCGUUGCUCGGAAUUACUGGGCGUAAAGCGCACGUAGGCGGCUUUUUAAGUCGGGGGUGAAAUCCGUGGAGCUCAACUCCAGAACUGCCUUCGAUACUGGAAGCUCGAGUCCGGGAGAGGUGAGUGGAACUGCGAGUGUAGAGGUGAAAUUCGUAGAUAUUCGCAAGAACACCAGUGGCGAAGGCGGCUCACUGGCCCGGUACUGACGCUGAGGUGCGAAAGCGUGGGGAGCAAACAGGG